AUUCCAUGAUGGGGACAUUCUAGGAUGUAGUCUUGGAAGCGCUCCCAUGCUUGUAGUAUUCUUCUCCUUUGUAGCGUAGAACCACUGCUUCGCUCUUCCUAACAGUGAGAAU
rnacentral:snoRNA from 1 species